rnacentral:lncRNA from 1 species
CGGAGGUGAAGCCAAGGAGAGGUGCUGGGGUAGCAUCUGUGACCACAGGAGAAGAGCCUCCCACAGGGUUGUGGUCUGGCCCCGGGAAGCCACAAGAGGAAGAAAGAAAAAGCAGAGCAGAGCAACUCCAGCUGGGGCAGCUCAGAGGAAGUCUGGCAAGUCUGACUUCUGGCGGAAGAACCCCCUGGGACUGAGAGGCCAGUCCCGAAUCCAGGCUCCUGCUGGACACUGACAGUGUCCCUGAACCUGGAGCUUACCAUUUCAGCUAGAAUGAGCGACCAUCGAGGCUCGAGGAUCCCCCGUCCCCUGAUACUGGAGUUACCUGGAUUUUAUGGGACAAUGGUUGCUGCCCUCCUCUCAUCUGGACCCCAGCAUCCACAUCUACAGCCUGGGAUGCUCUGUGGCCAUCGGAUGCACAAGGACACAUUUUCCAAGAGCAAGGGCCCAUGGGACCUCAAGAGAGAAUUUUUCCUGAUGAUGCAAGAAACUACCACUGUGAAAGUGUGGGUGUGGAAGUACACGCCCUUGGUCCUGGCUUUCAGGAGGAUGAAGAGUUUGAGGCCAGCCUGUGUUACAAUACUCAGUGAGACCCCUGCUAAAUAAUCAACAAUCAAAAUUCGAAUUGACUGUAGUUUUUAGGUUAGAGUCAGCCAAGGUCUCCCAGAGCUAACAAGUUGUUUGCUGGCUGGGCCCCUCCUGGAGGCUCUAGGAAAGAUAACAUCCUUGGAACUCUCUAGGGCUGUGGUCAGAACCAAUGUGCACAUUUACAAGACUAUACUCCCGUCGUCUCCCCAGCAUCUCUGCAUGGGCUCCACUUCUGACCCCAGCCAGACACUGAGGGCUCCAGGGUUUUCUUUUGAUGCCAGACUUCUAUGCCUUUUCCUUUGCAUCUCGUGUGGUUCUCUGCAUUCUGAGGCUGAUGUGGAUUUCUGGAGGCAAUCCCACAGAAUCCUCAACUUUAGAGCCUGUCACCUUCAUCUAUUUCAAAGGCCUCUGUGCCCUGCAUGUUUCCUAGUUCCAGGAAUUAAGGUACACAUGUCCUCCGUGACCCUUCUCAGGGCGAGGCAGGGUGGAGUGCAGGGUGAACAAGUCAGCCUUGGGCUGUUUCUGUUCACUGGCUAGGACACACACACACACACACACACACAGAUUGAGAGAGAGAGAGAGAGAGAGAGAGAGAGAGAGAGAGAGAGAGAGAGAGAGAGGUCUCUAACAGUGUAAGUAAGGCCACACCCAGUGGGAGUGUUUUGCCUUAUAAGGCUUUGGGUUGCCUCAAGCCAGGAAGGAAGGACCAGCUGGGCAGGAACUGGGUGGAGAUCCAAGAUUCCUGGGCAGGAACAGGACUUGCCCAAACCAAAG